AAAUUCAGACAUGCAUCCUCUCCUCGUUUCCCCCUGCUCGUCUCUGCCUCCCGCAUUCUCCCUCACGGCCCAGAGCAUCGCAGAGUUUCUGAUAUUCCGAGCACAUACCCGCCGCUUCAGCUCCACCAGAAUCCAACUGGGGUUUCCUGUUAAUGACCGGUCCCCUCCCGCCCUUGGGUUUUACAUGACAAAUGCCAGCUGUCCUGCAAUCCUGUCCAGAGCUCUCUGCCACUGAGGAGUGUGUUAUCUCCAUCUUGGUCUUUCUCCACCAUUUUGAGCUCUUAUAAAGCCUGCAGCACUCUCUUAGCAACGCUUUGGCUUUCUAUAUUUGUUGUUACAACCACCCUUACUCAUUCACUCAAUUUUUGAUGGCCCCUGGCCUAUACAAAUGUGUAUGAGUGGAUUAUGUUUGUGUAGAACAUCAUACAUUGUUUGCUACAUGGGUUUUUUUUUAGGGCAACUUUUAUUGAUACAUUAAAACUAUGUAUAGUUUAUGCUCUAUGUAAACUGAAUGUUUUGACAAGUAA